rnacentral:rRNA from 1 species
GAUGAACGCUGGCGGCGUGCCUCAAACAUGCAAGUCGAGCGGGGCUAUGUAAUAUCGCAAGGUAGAACAUAGCCUAGCGGCGAACGGGUGAGUAACACGUGGGUAACCUGCCUGGAAGACAGGGAUAACGAUUCGAAAGGGUCGCUAAUACCUGAUAAUAUCCUUUCAUCGCAUGGUGAUAGGAAGAAAGGGGAAACCCCGCUUUCAGAUGGGCCCGCGUCCCAUCAGCUAGUUGGUAAGGUAAAGGCUUACCAAGGCGACGACGGGUAGCCGGUCUGAGAGGAUGUCCGGUCACACUGGGACUGAGACACGGCCCAGACUCCUACGGGAGGCAGCAGCAGGGAAUCUUGGGCAAUGGGCGAAAGCCUGACCCAGCGACGCCGCGUGGAGGAAGAAGUCCUUCGGGGCGUAAACUCCUGGACUGGGGGACGAGUAAGGACGGUACCCCAGUAGAAAGGGACGGCUAACUACGUGCCAGCAGCCGCGGUAAGAGUACUCUAU